rnacentral:rRNA from 1 species
AACGUAGGACGCAAGCGUUAUCCGGAGUUACUGGGCGUAAAGCGCGGGCAGGCGGCUCGAAACGUCUGAUGUGAAAUCUCCUCGCUCAACGGGGAGAGGCCAUUGGAAACGGUCGGGCUGGAGGGCAGUAGAGGCAGGCGGAAUUCCGGGUGGAGUGGUGAAAUGCGUAGAGAUCCGGAGGAACACCAGAGGCGAAGGCGGCCUGCUGGGCUGCACCUGACGCUGAACCGCGAAGCCAGGGGAGCGAACGGG